AAAAAAGGUUUUGUUAAGAAUGGGGUUUUUUGAAAAUUUUGUACACCUUAUCAUGCAAUGUAUAACAAUUGUUUCCUACUAUGUUACUGUUAUUGAAUUUUUCUUUCCCCUCUUCUCUCUUCGAAAGAGUCAAAGCAGGGAGAUCUAUCGUCUCCAUCUCUCUUUUUAUUUAUUUCCAAUGCACUUUCCCAUAUGAUUCAAUACGCAGCAGAGUCAGGGGCCAUCAAAUGCUUCCAACUCAACAAAAGAUGCCCAUCAAUAUCACAUAUCCUGUUUGUUGAUCAUAUGUUGAUAGUUGGUAAUGCCUCAACUGAGGUAGCACAAGCCUUUUAUGGACAACAUCUUUGAUACCUUGAAAUGAAAAUAAGUAGA
rnacentral:misc_RNA from 1 species